AUGGGGUCCUUGGAAGGCGACGUGGCCACCUCGCCCUCGCUGUCCAGCACCGGCAGCAGCGGCACCGGCGCCGGCAACGACAACCAUGGCGGCGGCGAGGUGAGGAUAUACGCCUGCUUCGCGCACGGCGCGUCCAACAGCCUCGAGUGCUACGAGCCGGGCGCCAACACGUGGCGCCGCGUCGGCGGCCUCCCGGGGGUGCCCCACGGCCACGUGCUCAAGGGCUUCGCCGUCGUCGCGGUCGCCGAGUCCGUCUACGUCAUCGGCGGCCGCCUGUGCCGCAGGGAGAGCGUGCCCGGCGGCGACUACCGCGACACGGACGUGGGCGUGCGCGCCGACGUGCUCCGCUACGACGUGCGCCGCGGGGAGUGGCGCUGCUGCGCGCCGCUGCUGGUCCCGCGCGUCGACUUCGCGUGCGCGCCGUGCCGCGGCAGGAUCUGCGUCGCCGGCGGGCUCUGCUCGCUCUCCGGCGCGCGGGGCACGGCCGCCGCCGAGGUGUACGACCCGGAGACCGGCCGCUGGUCGCCGCUCCCGGACAUGAGCACGCUGCGGUACAAGUGCGUGGGCGUGACCUGGCAGGGCGGGUUCCACGUGGUGGGCGGCUUCGCCGAGAGCACCACGCCGGCGGCCGCGCCCGGGGAGGCGCUGGAGCGGAGCUCCGCCGAGGUGUUCAACUGCGGGCGCGGCGUGUGGGAGAUCAUCCCGGGGAUGUGGCAGCUGGACGUGCCGCCCAACCAGAUCGUCGCGGUGGCCGGCCGGCUCUUCAGCUCCGGCGACUGCCUCAACAGCUGGAAGGGCCACGUGGAGGUCUACGACGGCGAGCUCAACAUCUGGAGCGUCAUGGACCACUCAGCACUAUCAGACCUGGCGCUGCUCGCCAGCAACCUGCCGCCAUCAGCGCAGCAGCUCUACCUCACCAUGGCCGUGGUCGGGACGCGGCUCUUCUUCCUCGCCGGGUACGAGAUCGCCGGCGACGACGACGAGAGCUUCAGGACGGUCUCACUGGUGCACAGCUACGACACCAGCGCCGCGCCAGGGCUGGCGCCGGCGUGGAGCAGCUUCCAGCCCAAGAUGGACCAUGACAACAACGUCGAGGACGGCAGCAAGGAGCUCUUCAGCCAGUGCUGCUCCGUGCAGCUCUCCAGCUGA
rnacentral:rRNA from 1 species